GGAUGGGUACCCAAGAGGCCAAAGGGGGCAGACUGUAAAUCUGUUAGCUAAGCUUUCGAAGGUUCGAAUCCUUCCCCAUCCA
rfam:Herbinix sp. SD1D isolate SD1D genome assembly, chromosome: I